GGAUGUGAGGGCGAUCUGGCUGCAACAUCUGUCACCCCAUUGAUCGCCAGUGUUGAUUUGGCUGAUCUGGCUGGCUAAGCGGGUGUCCCCUUCCUCCCUCACCACUUCAUGUGCGUCCCUCCCAAAGCUGCGCGCUCUGUCGGUCGAAGAGGAUGCCCAUGGACGCCCAUCCCUGAUAGAGGAGGACCUUUCUUCAGUCAAGGGUAUACGAGUAGCUGCGCUCCCCUGCUAGAACCUCCAAACAAGCUCUCAAUACCAAAAAUGUCUUCACGUGCAGCUCAAUUUUACUUACAUAGAGGAGAAAAAUGAAGCUGAUUUUGAAAGAUGACCUAUUCUAAAAGGUACUUAUCUAUCAUUUA
rnacentral:snRNA from 1 species